UGGUCAUGACCAAGGCUUUUAGAAAGCAAUUUCUCAAUUGCUGUGUAUAUGACCCUAAAAAAAGACUUUCCGAUAGGUUUUCUAUCUUCUAAGACUUUGUUGGUACUCAGCCUCCUGGUGACAUUU
ensembl:snoRNA